rnacentral:rRNA from 1 species
AGUGAACGCUGGCGGCAGGCCAAACACAUGCAAGUCGAACGGCAGCACAGUGGAGCUUGCUCCAUGGGUGGCUAGUGGCGGACGGGUGAGGAAUACAUCGGAAUCUGCCGAGUCGUGGGGGAUAACAGAGGGAAACAUAUGCUAAUACCGCAUACGACCUACGGGUGAAAGCGGGGGAUCGCACGACCUCGCGCGACUGGAGGAGCCGAUGUCAGAUUAGCUAGUUGGCGGAGUAAUGGCCCACCAAGGCGACGAUCGGUAGCUGGUCUGAGAGGAUGAUCAGCCACACUGGAACUGAGACACGGUCCAGACUCCUACGGGAGGCAGCAGUGGGGAAUAUUGGACAAUGGGCGCAAGCCUGAUCCAGCCAUGCCGCGUGGGUGAAGAAGGCCUUCGGGUUGUAAAGCCCUUUUGUCCGGAAAGAAAAGUCCCGGGUUAAUACCCUGGGGUGAUGACGGUACCGGAAGAAUAAGCACCGGCUAACUUCGUGCCAGCCGCCGCAGUAAUAC